AAUAGCCACGAAUCGCAGUUCAGACCACCCAGUGAACAGCUAAGUUUAAACUGUUCUUAUGCAGGCAGCAGGCUACCUGGGGAGGCUUCUCCCUCAGCCCGUCCCCCUGCUCCCUGCUACAAGCUAGAGGGGAGCCCCUGCAGCCCCUGCUGAGUGCGGGGGUCAAGGGAACAUGGAGCCUAGCGGCGUUGGACAGCCUGGCUGGAGGAAGAGGAGGGAGGACAAGGAGAAAAAUGUGACGUGCUGUCGCAUCAGUCUAUGAAGAAGAUUUGAGAUCACCAAGAAUUUGAGACAUGAGUGACUUGAGUAUUGUCUUGGAUUGAGCAGAUGGCUAGGACCAAGGAACUCCUGAAUUCUAAUCCCAGCUAUACCCUGACUUGUUUGGGCUCCUUUUGUGCCUUACUCCUUGUUAAUGGACACCGCAGAAAUGCAAACAAUAAAUAAAAAGUCAGUAUUU